rnacentral:rRNA from 1 species
GUGAGGAAUAUUGCACAAUGGGGGCAACCCUGAUGCAGCGACGCCGCGUGGGUGAUGACGGCCUUCGGGUUGUAAAGCCCUUUUGCCACUGACGAGAACGGACGGUAGGUGGCGAAUAAGCCUCGGCUAACUACGUGCCAGCAGCCGCGGUAAAACGUAGGAGGCGAGCGUUAUCCGGAGUUACUGGGCGUAAAGCGUGCGCAGGCGGUGCCAUAAGUCAGGUGUGAAAGGUUCCGGCUCAACCGGGAAAACGCGCUUGAGACUGUGGGACUAGAGUGGGAUAGAGGGACGUGGAAUUCCGGGUGGAGCGGUGAAAUGUGUAGAGAUCCGGAGGAACACCAGAGGCGCAAGCGGCGUCCUGGGUCCCAACUGACGCUGAGGCACGAAAGCUUGGGGAGCGAACGGGAUUAGAAACCCUAGUAGUCC